AAAGUGAAUAGUGAAAUCUGGGGGCUCAACCUCACAGGCUAUUAUUCAAACUCACAAGCUCGAGAAUGAUAGAGGUAACUGGAAUUUCUGAAGUAGGGGUAAUAUCCGUAGAUAUCAGAAGGAACACCAAUGGCGUAGGCAGGUUACUGGAUCAUUUCUGACACUGAGGCACGAAAGCGUGGGGAGCGAACCGGAUUAGAUACCCGGGUAGUCCACGCCGUAAACGAUGGAUACUA
rnacentral:rRNA from 1 species